UACAUUAGAUACCCGUGUAGUCCCAGCCGUAAACUAUGCUCGCUAGGUGUCAGGCAUGGCGCGACCGUGUCUGGUGCCGCAGGGAAGCCGUGAAGCGAGCCACCUGGGAAGUACGGCCGCAAGGCUGAAACUUAAAGGAAUUGGCGGGGGAGCACAACAACGGGUGGAGCCUGCGGUUUAAUUGGACUCAACGCCGGACAACUCACCGGGGACGACAGCAAUAUGUAGGCCAGGCUGAAGACCUUGCCUGAAUCGCUG
rnacentral:rRNA from 1 species